CCUGCGGAAGGCAUUAUUGAUUUUAUCUAUUUCUGUGGAUUUCUAUUCUAUUACAGCGUCAUUUUAUCUCAAUUAUAACUAUCAACAACGGAUCUCUUGGCUCUCACAUCGAUAAGAACGCAGCGAACCGCGAUAUUUUUUGUGACUUGCAGAUGUGAAUCAUCAAUCUUUGAACGCACAUUGCGCGGUAUGGCAUUCCGUACCGCACGGAUGGAGGAGCGUGUUCCCUCUGGGAUCGCAUUGCUUUCUUGAAAUGGAUUUUUUAAACUCUCAAUUAUUACGUCAUUUCACCUCCUUCAUCCGAAUUACCCGCUGAACUUAAGCAUAUCAAUAAGCGGAGAA
rnacentral:rRNA from 1 species